rnacentral:lncRNA from 1 species
AAAAAAUCGUAUUUUUAAAUGUUUCAAGUUAUUAAAGGGAAAUGUUAGGUAGAAGAUUUUAACUAAAUUGAAUAGGAUUUUGAUGUUUAAAUGUAAUUGUAGGAAUGGAAGGAAAUGGUGCAGGAGGGGUGCACCUGAGUUGCCACCGAGGAGACAAAGGACUGUUCCAUUUCAAGAGGGACCUGGUCAGCCUUUUUGACAGUAUGUCCGAGGUCGACGAAUGACUAGUCGAUAUGAUUGUUGGAGGACAUAUUCGUACCCCGAUCGGGUAGUACUAGCAAUAGUAGAUGAAAGACGGAGGUUAGCGAUCCAAAAUGACAUAUAAUAUACUCAAAUUCGUGAGAUGAGGGUGGUUAUGAGAAUGCAAAAUGAAAGAAUUCGAGAAAUGGAUAUGGAGUUGAUAGCCGAACAGGAAAGGACCAAUAUUUUGAGAGAGCAGUUACAAGCGAGUAACAAUUGCUUGGAAGGAAUGGUAAGGUAGGUAAGAGAUCGAAUUGAGGGGAUUCUAGCUGAAUGUUAAGUUUUGAUAGAAGAGGUUAUCAGAGAGAAUUUAAACGGGGAAGGUCAGGGUGUAAAAGUUCCUAGAGUUGUAGGUGAAGCUGAACCGGCAAAGGAAGAUCUCGAGAAGGAUCCAGAAGAAGAGGAAUCCAUGGAAGCGGAACCGGAAGAAGAGGUGGGAUCCAGUGGGACUGUCCAGGACUAGACCAAUGGAGUCUUAAGUUGAACUUAAAACUGAGGGUUUAGCUACUAGCUAUGCUUGCUUUAAUAAUUCGACUACACUACUGAACUGUUUCUCUUUUAUGUUGUUUGAAUUGAAGUUUAUGUUAUGUUUGUUGAGUAUUGGAUAUAUUUGUGACUUGCUUGGUUUCUUUAAAUAUGUUUGAAGUUGAUAGGUAUUGUAACUUACAUUGUUGUGGUAUGUAACCUAAUGACCGUGCUCUCGUUUUGUUAUAAUGCUGUGUGAGUUACAAGCAUUUUGUAUUGAGAUUACUUGGCAACCUAAGUAUAUGUAGUUAAUUAUCGAUCAUUUAUACAUAAAUUGGUAGUGAGAUAUGGAAGUUAGGCCACGAUGACGAGGCCGUAGACCUAGGUAACCCUAAGAGCAAGGGAAAGAACGGGAAUUUGCGGUCAAUCAAAACCAAGAAUAGGGAGCCAAUAUAGGUGACCUAGUGGCUACUGCUUUAAAUCGGAUGACCGACCUUUUAGAGCGUACAGCACCCCCAC